ACAAUGGAGAGUUUGAUCCUGGCUCAGGACGAACGCUGGCGGCGUGCUUAACACAUGCAAGUCAAGGAGAACGAAUCCUUCGGGAUACUAUUAAACUGGCGAACGGGUGAGUAACACGUAGGCAACCUACCUCAGAGAUUGGGAUAACUUCGGGAAACCGGAGCUAAUACCGAAUAAUGCAGCGGAUCCUUCGGGAUAUGUUGUUAAAGUGGGCUUCGGCUCACACUUUGAGAUGGGCCUGCGUCCGAUUAGCUUGUUGGUAAGGUAACGGCUUACCAAGGCUGCGACGGGUACCGGGGCUGAGAGGCUGAUCCGGCACAUUGGGACUGAGACACUGCCCAGACCCCCACGGGGGGCUGCAGUAACGAAUAUUCCGCAAUGGGCGAAAGCCUGACGGAGCGACGCCGCGUGUGGGAUGAAGUCUUUCGGGAUGUAAACCACUGUCAGGGCUACGGAAGCAAUCCGCUAUAAUACCGCGGGGCGCUGACCUAUCCCAGAGGAAGCCACGGCUAACUUCGUGCCAGCAGCCGCGGUAAUACGAAGGUGGCGAGCGUUGUUCGGAAUCACUGGGCUUAAAGAGCACGUAGGCGGUUUGCCAAGCAUUUGGUGAAAUCCCUCAGCUCAACUGAGGAAUUGCCGAAUGAACUGGUAGACUUGAGCUGCACAGGGGCGACUGGAACUCUAGGUGGAGCGGUGAAAUGCGUAGAUAUCUAGAGGAACGCCAGUGGUGAAAACGGGUCGCUGGGUGCAUGCUGACGCUCAGGUGCGAAAGCGUGGGGAGCGAACGGGAUUAGAUACCCCGGUAGUCCACGCUGUAAACGAUGGGCACUAGGUUCGGGUAAGUUUGACCUUUUCCGGGCCGAAGCUAAAGUACUAAGUGCCCCGCCUGGGGAGUACGGUCGCAAGGCUAAAACUCAAAGGAAUUGACGGGGGCUCACACAAGCGGUGGAGCAUGUGGCUCAAUUCGAGGCAACGCGAAGAACCUUAUCCUGGGUUUGACAUGGUUGGAUGCCCUUGGUGAAAGCCAAGUAAGCUGCCUUCGGGUGAAACUUCCACAGGUGCUGCAUGGCUGUCGUCAGCUCGUGCUGUGAAGUGUUGGGUUAAGUCCCCUAACGAGCGAAACCCUUGUCUCUAGUUACCAGCGAGUAAUGUCGGGGACUCUAGAGAGACUGCCGGUGUUAAACCGGAGGAAGGUGGGGAUGACGUCAAGUCCUCAUGGCCUUUAUGCCCAGGGCUGCACACGUGCUACAAUGGUCGGUACAAACCGAAGCGAUACCGCGAGGUGGAGCAAAUCGGAAAAAACCGAUCUCAGUUCGGAUUGCAGGCUGCAAUUUGCCUGCAUGAAGUUGGAAUCGCUAGUAAUCGCAGAUCAGCAUGCUGCGGUGAAUAUGUUCCUGAGCCUUGUACACACCGCCCGUCAAGUCACGGAAGCCGGGAGUACCUGAAGUCCCGACAAUUCGGCCGGGCCGAUGGUAAGUUUGGUAACUGGGACUAAGUCGUAACAAGGUAGCCGUAGGGGAACCUGCGGCUGGAUCACCUCCUUU
rnacentral:rRNA from 1 species